GAUGCGUAAACAUUUGCGCUUCUUCCACAAAGAGCUUCAGUCUACGGCUGGGCCCUUUGUACUUUCCUACCGGGAAACACCAGAUGAGACCCAAACCAGAGGUGAGGUGAGAACAGCAGACCUGAAACGUCAGCACUCCAAGGCCCUGCGUUGCGGUGCUGACCGUGUCCUCUAUCCUGCCUAGAGGGGUGCUCAGGACCUCAUACCAACCAGAGACCCUGUUCCUGCUCUGGAUCCCACCAUCCGUGGGGCAAACAGGUGUAUGUACCCCAUAGGAAGGGGGAAAAGAAAGGAAAG